AUGCAGCAAUUACACCAGACUACAAGCAACUCUCAGGCUCUUAUGCUGAAGAUCACUCAGUGGAGGAACUACUCAACCAACACCAUGCUUUCUCUAAACUGGAUAUUAGUCCUGACACUGGCGCAUCUACACUACCUGGCAACUAGCUUGUCAUUGAGUUCUGUGAAAUGGAAUCAUUUAGUGGAACUGAACGACACCAUCUGUAAAGAGAACACUUCCUUUCACAGUCCCACGACUCAUGUUGAGCAUAAUUGUACUGUGUCAGCUUUGAAAUGCACCAUGAGAGAGCUGGAAAAAGCUCAAAGCAAGUGCUCUUACAUUAGACAUCACCUGCAGAUUAACGGGAAGGCAAAGCGCAUAAUUGAUUCUCUGACCAAAAGAUCUGCAUCUACAGUACGUAUUAUUUAUCUAAUUCUGAAACAUGUAAAGGUAUUUGAUGUGACAGAGUUCCUAAUCAUUAUUUUUUGUGUCUUCUAGGAUAAUGCUACUAACUGCACACCAUGUGAUGGCUAUGAAGUAGAACCCUAUAAGAAAUUUAUCACAAACCUGUAUCCACUCAUCAAUCGGCUAAUCGCGGUGGGAUAGGAAAUUCAACUCAGAAAUGUGCUAGAUAAUUUAUAAACCAUCUCUGCGGCAAUGGAUGUAUUGAAUGUUUUUACUUGUCUAAAUUGUUAGGAAUAAUGCUGCUAAAUUCCAUGAAGAUAGUGAAAUUCCAAUCUCUUUCCAUCUCUUUCUCUUUAUUUUUUUACAUAAAGCACUAGUAAUGUAAUAUAAACUUAUGUUAAAUAGUAUUUAUGUAUUUAUUGAAGUAUUUAAAUUAAUUUAUACAAUAAAUUGUUCAUUUGUUAAAUAAAAAACGUGAUC
rnacentral:lncRNA from 1 species